GUGGGGAAUAUUGGACAAUGGGCGAAAGCCUGAUCCAGCCAUGCCGCGUGUGUGAAGAAGGUCUUCGGAUUGUAAAGCACUUUAAGUUGGGAGGAAGGGCAGUAAGUUAAUACCUUGCUGUUUUGACGUUACCGACAGAAUAAGCACCGGCUAACUCUGUGCCAGCAGCCGCGGUAAUACAGAGGGUGCAAGCGUUAAUCGGAAUUACUGGGCGUAAAGCGCGCGUAGGUGGUUCGUUAAGUUGGAUGUGAAAGCCCCGGGCUCAACCUGGGAACUGCAUCCAAAACUGGCGAGCUAGAGUACGGUAGAGGGUGGUGGAAUUUCCUGUGUAGCGGUGAAAUGCGUAGAUAUAGGAAGGAACACCAGUGGCGAAGGCGACCACCUGGACUGAUACUGACACUGAGGUGCGAAAGCGUGGGGGGCAAACAGGAUUAGAUACCCUGGUAGUCC
rnacentral:rRNA from 1 species